rnacentral:tRNA from 1 species
UCCCCGGUAGCUCAAUCGGCAGAGCGGUUGGCUGUUAACCAAUAGGUUGGGAGUUCGAGUCUCUCCCGGGGAG